rnacentral:rRNA from 1 species
GACGAACGCUGGCGGCGUGCUUAACACAUGCAAGUCGAGCGGUAAGGCCCUUUUGGGGGUACACGAGCGGCGAACGGGUGAGUAACACGUGGGUGACCUGCCCUCAGCUCUGGGAUAAGCCUGGGAAACUGGGUCUAAUACUGGAUAUGACCUUUCCUCGCAUGGGGUUGGGUGGAAAGUUUUUCGGCUGGGGAUGGGCCCGCGGCCUAUCAGCUUGUUGGUGGGGUGAUGGCCUACCAAGGCGACGACGGGUAGCCGGCCUGAGAGGGCGACCGGCCACACUGGGACUGAGACACGGCCCAGACUCCUACGGGAGGCAGCAGUGGGGAAUAUUGCGCAAUGGGCGGAAGCCUGACGCAGCGACGCCGCGUGGGGGAGUGA